CUUCUCUCCCCACCCCCUCACUUAUCUCUUCGAUUCGGUGCAGGAGCCACCGUCCUCCAUGGACGAGGACGACCACCAUGCACCGCAGAUGGUCGAGCUCGCCGUCGUCUUCUCCGAUGCGGUGCUGGGCCAACGACCUCCAACUCCACGGCUCAUAGCUUGGGUAAGCACUUCCUGUCGGAGGGGUGCAUCAUGCCCAAGCAGGAAGCGCUGCAGGCGUACCAAUUGUCUCUGCGGCAACACCUAACGAUGACGCCAUCGCUUACUGAAUAUUGUGCAGGCUGCUAAACACAGUAGCACUAUGGUGGGGAUUAAUAGCCGGCGCUGUACAGGGAGGCGCUUGAUGUCAGGUCCCAGUCUCUGAAACUCUGAAGAAUUGAUACCUUCAGGCUUGCUACUUAAUUCUCAAAAAAAAUCGUGCGUUCACAUCACCAUCCUGUGGAACCACGAGGCCUGAUCCAGUGAUUUCAGAGAACAUUUACUAUGUUUAUGGAUCACUACAUGUUCUGCUGGAACAAGGUUCAAUACUUUUUCUGGUUUCAACAACAAGAAGACAACUACUCACUGCUCUCAACAAGAACCACACAAGCGGAUCAUCUAACAUAACCUGUUUGAGGGAAGGUAUGUCGUCCUUUGGUUUCUACUUUAGCUAGUUCUCUUGCUAUCAAAGGUUGUAUUCAUAAUUUCUCCUUCGACUGGAAAAUACUACAAGAUGAAUGAUUUAAUGUAUUAUGAAUUCUUCU